CGCGUAGGCGGUUUGUUUAGUUAGGCGUGAAAUUCCUGGGCUUAACCUGGGGGACUGCGCUUAAUACAGGCAGACUUGAGUUCGGAAGAGGGUCGUGGAAUUCCCAGUGUAGAGGUGAAAUUCGUAGAUAUUGGGAAGAACACCGGUGGCGAAGGCGGCGACCUGGUCCGAUACUGACGCUGAGGCGCGAAAGUGUGGGGAGCAAACA
rnacentral:rRNA from 1 species